CUCGUCCUUAAUGGGGCGCCAGCUGUACAGGGGGGCGCAGGCCAGGAUGGACGCGUUGUGCGCCCUCACGGUGGCCCCGAACCACUGCAGGGAUUUGUACUCCAUGGGGUCGGGGUUCUCCGUGCCGUUGCCCCCAAAGUCAUUGGGGUGGCUGCGGGUCCCGAUGUGGUCGAAGUCAAUGGGGGUGCAGUCGGUGCUGGGGGGCCACGGGCAGUGAUAGACGGCCCCCCCUUGGGUGACGUUGGGUUGGCUCGUGUUGGCUUUGGGGGCCCCCACCAGAAUGCUGACACUGGGAGGUCGGGGCAGGUAAAAAUCCAAGGCGAAACCGAAAAGGGACCCGGGGGACCCCCGGAAGGCGAAGGGCCGCGACGUCUCCAGGUUGAAAGCGGCGACGGACGGCAGCAGCACCGGGAGCAGCACCGGGAGCAGCGCACGGGAACCCAACCGGCAGCUCCGGGGCCGUCGCGGCGGGGCCGGGGGG
rnacentral:lncRNA from 1 species